rnacentral:rRNA from 1 species
AUUGAACGCUGGCGGCAGGCCUAACACAUGCAAGUCGAACGAGUGGCGGACGGGUGAGUAAUGUCUGGGAAACUGCCCGAUGGAGGGGGAUAACUACUGGAACCGGUAGCUAAUACCGCAUACCAUCGGAUGUGCCCAGAUGGGCUUAGCUAGUAGGUGGGGUAACGGCUCACCUAGGCGACGCUCUCUAGCUGGUCUGGGAGGAUGACCAGCCACAAUGGAACGGAGACACGGGACAGACUCCUACGGGAGGCAGCAGUGGGGAAUAUGGCACAAUGGGCGAAAGCCUGAUGCAGUCAUGCCGCGUGUAUGAAGAAGGCCCUAGGGUUGUAAAGUACUUUCAGUCGGGAGGCGUUACCGACAGAAGAAGCACCGGCUAACUCCGUGCCAGCAGCCGCGGUAAUUC